CGAACCAUCCUGAUGAUUGAAGCUUGCUUCAUGAUUCAGACCUUGGUGAGUGGCGGACGGGUGAGUAACACGUGGGUAACCUGCCCAGAAGUGGGGGAUAACAUUUGGAAACAAGUGCUAAUACCGCAUAACAACUUAGAUCACAUGAUCUUUGUUUAAAAGAUGGUUUUGCUAUCUCUUCUGGAUGGACCCGCGGCGUAUUAGCUAGUUGGUGAGGUAAUAGCUCACCAAGGCGAUGAUACGUAGCCGACCUGAGAGGGUAAUCGGCCACAUUGGGACUGAGACACGGCCCAAACUCCUACGGGAGGCAGCAGUAGGGAAUCUUCCACAAUGGACGAAAGUCUGAUGGAGCAAUGCCGCGUGAGUGAAGAAGGUUUUCGGAUCGUAAAACUCUGUUGUUGAAGAAGAACAUAUGUGAGAGUAACUGUUCACGUACUGACGGUAUUCAACCAGAAAGCCACGGCUAACUACGUGCCAGCAGCCGCGGUAAUACGUAGGUGGCAAGCGUUGUCCGGAUUUAUUGGGCGUAAAGAGAAUGUAGGCGGUUUAUUAAGUUUGAAGUGAAAGCCCUCGGCUCAACCGAGGAAGUGCUUCGAAAACUGGUAAACUUGAGUGCAGAAGAGGAAAGUGGAACUCCAUGUGUAGCGGUGGAAUGCGUAGAUAUAUGGAAGAACACCAGUGGCGAAGGCGGCUUUCUGGUCUGUAACUGACGCUGAGAUUCGAAAGCAUGGGUAGCAAACAGGAUUAGAUACCCUGGUAGUCCAUGCCGUAACGAUGAGUGCUAAGUGUUGGAGGGUUUCCGCCCUUCAGUGCUGCAGC
rnacentral:rRNA from 1 species